rnacentral:rRNA from 1 species
UACGUAGGGGGCGAGCGUUGUCCGGAAUUAUUGGGCGUAAAGGGCUCGUAGGCGGUUUGUCACGUCGGGAGUGAAAACUCGGGGCUUAACCCCGAGCCUGCUUCCGAUACGGGCUGACUAGAGGUAUGCAGGGGAGAACGGAAUUCCUGGUGUAGCGGUGAAAUGCGCAGAUAUCAGGAGGAACACCGGUGGCGAAGGCGGGUCUCUGGGCCGAUACUGACGCUGAGGAGCGAAAGCGUGGGGAGCGAACAGG